UACGUAGGGUGCGAGCGUUGUCCGGAAUUAUUGGGCGUAAAGAGCUUGUAGGCGGUUUGUCGCGUCUGCCGUGAAAAUCCGGGGCACAACCCCGGACUUGCGGUGGGUACGGGCAGACUAGAGUGUGGUAGGGGAGACUGGAAUUCCUGGUGUAGCGGUGAAAUGCGCAGAUAUCAGGAGGAACACCGAUGGCGAAGGCAGGUCUCUGGGCCACUACUGACGCUGAGAAGCGAAAGCGUGGGGAGCGAACAGG
rnacentral:rRNA from 1 species